ACACAAUGCCAUACAGCAUGCUAUACAAGCAUGAUGUACAUGUAGUAGCUCUCGUGAAUAUAACUACUCUUUUGGUUUUACUAUUAAUCACCAAUGAACAACUGCCAUCUAGACUUCUCUCAAACUGAUCCACAAUUGCAGUUCUGCCCUUCUAGCGUGUAAUAUAAAAGUCACCGUUUGGGCUAGAAACAUGUUUGGGAAUCCAUUGUUAUUCUAUAUUCUUCCAUUAUUGAAGCUAUGAUUUUCAGCUGGUGCAGUUUUCUCCCAAGGUAAAGAAGUAAUAAAUAUUGGAUUUUCUCAGAUUUUUGUCCCCUUAAAGUUUGAAAUCCAUAUCAGGAUUGAGUAGCAUGAGAUAUCUUGCCAACGACCUCGCCAGUGGGCAAGAUAUAAGUCCUAAAAUCCACAUAUCCAUCAAAACUCAUAUUUUCACUAUAUUAUCCACGACAUAAAUAAGUAUUCAACGAACCAUAUAUAAUAUAUCUCAAUAGACAUUUUUACUAUUACAUUGUAAGUAACAUAUUAUCAACAUGGAAAAGGAUAUAUACUUCACACCCUUUAUGAUAAUCAUAAAAGUACGAGCAUGUAUCACAUUCACUC
rnacentral:lncRNA from 1 species